rnacentral:lncRNA from 1 species
UAAUUUCAUACAGGUCCCUAUAAAUAUAGUGAAUUGCAAAUAUAUCUCUAUAUGGUUCAACUUUCAUUUGCUGUCUCUAUAAAAAUAUUGAUAUUUUCAAAUAUAUAACUGUUGUUCAAAUCCGUAAGAAAAAAUUAGCUAACUAUAAGUAAAAUACUUAACCCUAAUUAGUUAAUGAUAUGAGUUGAUUUUUUUACCUCUUUUCAAUUAAUAGCUGGGACUUUUGGAGGAACAUAUUUGUGAUGAAAAAAAAUAUCAUUUUACUUAUAAAAUAAAUAGUAUUUUAACGGUAACAAACUAGAGCAAUAUAUUUGAAAAUAUUAGGACUUUUGUAGGACCAACAUACGAAAGUUUAAUUUUGUAGGAAUAUAUUUACAAUUCAGAUGUUUGCAGGGAUCCGUAUGAAAUUAACCCUUUAUUAUAUGUGGUCAAACUGUCAAAGGGACCCAGAGUAGGGUUGUCAAUGGGUAUGGAUACCCGAAAUAUUAUCCGACCCGAACCCAAUGGGGCGGGUUUACUCGAGCUAAACGGGUAUGGAUUCAGUUAUGGGUAUAGAAAAUAAAAACCCGACGGAUAUGGAUAUGGAUAUGGAUUUUGUAUUUAUCCGACCUGAACCUGAACCCGAAUAAAUUAUAUAUAUACAUACUUUAUUUUUUUUUAUUUAUAUAAUAUAUAAAAUAUUUAAUAAUUUUUAUCUUUUAGAUCUUCAUUCAACGGUAUGGAUUUUUAAAACCCGCCAAGUCCGGAUUCGGGUUCGGGUUUGGAUUUCGGGUUUUUGGUAGGGUACGGAUAUGGGUAUGAAUUUUUAAAACUCGUUGCGUUCAGGUCCAGGUGUAGGUUUUAAUUUGGUUUUCGAAUUCGGGUUCGGGUUUUUAAAAAUCCGACCCGUUGACAUCUCUAACCCAUAGAUCAUUAGUAAUGUAUUUAUUGGUUUUUCUUUUUAAUUUUAAUCGGUGUUUAGGCAUAUUUGUUUCAAACUAUUUGAAUGGAGAAUUGGAUUCUCCAUAUUUUUUUACUGUUUUAAUAAACAACCUCUAUUGUCAAAUCAUUACUUUAUAUAUUAAUAGGUUAAUUGCAUACAACUCUUUAUAAAUAUACUGAAUAACAAAUAUAUUCUUAUAAAGUUCAACUUUUCAUUUUUAUCUUUAUAAAAAUCUAGUAAUAUUCAUAUAUGCCCUCCUGAUUUGUUAUCGUUAAGCACGAUUUAUUUUUUAACAGCAGAUAAGUAAAAUAAUAUUUUUAUCCUUAUAAAUAUAUUUCUCCAAAUGUCCAUUAUGCAGAAAUAUUCUGCUAAGAAAAUAUUUUACCCAAUAAUACAAGAGGAGUAAAACGGUAAAUUUACCUCAUCCACUAACCAGGAUUAUGUAUUUUAUUUAUGAUUAACUAUAUUUUUCUGACAAAUUCUUACAGUAGUGGUAUAUUUAAAAAAGGCAGAACUUUUGCAUAAAUAAAAAUAAAAAGUUAAAUUUUAUAAGAAUACUUAGAUAUGUUUAUAAUUAACUCUAUAUUAAUUGCCGAUAAGUUUACUGUAACAAAAAAUUACAUAAAAUCAAAAUUUUUCUUUACAGAAAAAUUAAAGUCCCAUAAAUUUUAAAUCUCAUGCGAGCUAUUCUCAUUCGCAUACAUGAAGUUCUAAGCUCACAUAUUUUUCAAAAUUAUUUAUUAAUUUUGUUUAUUUUAAUUAAAGGGUAAAUUUUAAAUAUCAUCAUUAUCGUUUCGCACUUUUUUACUUUAAUAACUUAUAAUUUAACGUAUAUCAAUUUAGUACAUGCGGUUUUAUUUUUCUAUUUUCGUCAGCUCUCUGUUAAUUUUUUAUUAAAUCAUAUAUAAAAAAAAUUUAGAUACCCAUCUAUAGUUUAUCGAAUAUUUAUUUUAGUAUCUUUAAUUUUAAUCUCGUCACUAAUUAAAAAAAUAAAAAAUAAAAAAAAUCAUAAAAUACGAAAAUAAUAUAUUUAAAUUAUAGGGUACCAAAAUGAAAAAAGUAUGAAACGACAGGGUGGUAUUUGAAAAUUUUCCUUAAUUAAAAGAGAAAGGCAAAUUUCCUACACCAUCCGUUACAACUUUAUGCAACACCCGUUACGUUUCUAAAACUGGAAUUAGCCUCUUUACUCGAGGGCAUUUUCGUAAUUUCGUAUGCCCCUCUCUCUCUCUAUCCACUGAACCCUCUCUCUCUCUCUCUCUCUCUCUCUCUCUCUCUGCCACUACACUGUUCGCUUCUGUUCUUCUCUCUUUAAAGCUGCGUUACCUUUUUCCCCCUCUCCACUUCUCUAAACCCUAUAAUCGAUUUGUGUGUGUGUGUGUGUGUCUCUCUCUCUCUCUCUCUCCUCGUCUUCGAGGAUGGCUAGGGUUUCAUCUGCGCCCUCUCCGAGCUCCUCCUCGCAGCCCCGCGAGCGCCCGUGGAGCCUCCUCUGAUGAGCGAUCGCCCGGGCUCUCUUUCGCCCGAGAGAGCCGUCGAAAGCGCCGUUCUCGCGACGUAGCCGGUAAGAUCAGAUCAGAUAAGAUCCUACCCUUCUCUUCUCGAUCUUGCCUUACCCCGUUGAUCCGAGCUCGAAAGCUCGGUUCUUGGUCGAAUUUGGGUGAUUCUUUUCCUCUUUGCCCUAAAUCUCGUGUAAAGCGGGGGGUUUUUGAUCCGAUUAGGAGGUUUUUAGAAAGAUUAGUGUUUGAUUUGGGCGUGGUUAAGCUCCUUUUUUGCGCGGUGGUUUGCUUUGAUUAGCUUCUUUUGCGGAGGGGACGAGGAGGGGGGGUUCUGUUAAGGGGGGAAAAAAGGGGGCCUCUUUUUGCCUUUUUUUAAGCUUGUUUAAGGAAGCUUAUUUGAGGCCUUUAAAGCCAGCAACCUGGAAUAUGGUUCUCUUCUUUCAUUGGAAUCUUGUGGUCAAGUUAUUCUCGUCC